CUCCUUGCACACACCGCCCGUCGUUUCAUCGAAGUUGGCCUUUAGUGAGGUAGUGUCUUGUUGGCAUUAUCGAGCUUGAGGUCAGUGACGAGGGAAAAGUCGUAACAACGGUACC
rnacentral:rRNA from 1 species